rnacentral:sRNA from 1 species
AGGUCAUUAUUGAUUGUGAAUCGUUGCCUCCAGUGCUGGCUCUCGCAAGUGCACGGUUGGUGACUUUCAUCCAACACCCUGUGAACCUUUGGCCUCUUGCUAGCUUCGGCUGGCAGAGGAUUUUUACACACACUCGAAUGUAAUGAAAUUAUUGUCGUGCGCAAGCACUUAUGUACAACUUUCAACAACGGAUCUCUUGGCUCUCGCGGGGGGGGAAGAACGCAGCGAAAUGCGAUAAGUAAUGUGAAUUGCAGAAUUCAGUGAAUCAUCGAAUCUUUGAACGCACCUUGCACCCUUUGGCAUUCCGAAGGGUAUGCUCGUUUGAGUGUCAUUGUACUCUCACACUUCUGAUCCUUUGGAUUUGGAGCGGUGGACUUGGGUGUUGCCACUUGACGGUGGCUCACCUCUAAUGCAUUAGUGCAACUCCUGGUUGGACCAUAGUACGGCGUGAUAAGUGUCUUCGCCGGCACCUCGUGAGAGGGUGGCCGAUCGAGAGCUCUGUGCUUUCAAACCGUCCUUGCAAGGACAAUGACUGACAACUUGACCUCAAAUCGAGUAGGACUACCCGCUGAACUUAAGCAUAUCAAUAGGCGGGAGG